rnacentral:rRNA from 1 species
CGGUUGGCCCCCGAGCCUGUGUAAAGCUCCUUCAACGAGUCGAGUAGUUUGGGAAUGCUGCUCUAAUUGGGAGGUAAAUUUCUUCUAAAGCUAAAUACCGGCCAGAGACCGAUAGCGCACAAGUAGAGUGAUCGAAAGAUGAAAAGCACUUUGAAAAGAGGGUGAAACAGUACGUGAAAUUGUUGAAAGGGAAGCGCUUGUGAUCAGACCUGCGCCCGGUGAAUCAUCCAGCUCCGGCUGGUGCACUUCUCCGGCGUAGGCCAGCACCGGUUCACCGCGGGGGAAAAAGACGGCGGGAAUGUGGCUCCUCGUGAGUGUUAUAGCCCGCCGUGUAAUGCCCUGGGGUGGACCGAGGUACGCGGGUGCUG